UUCAGAAGAGCCAGGAAAUAGAACACAGAAUUUCUGUGUCCACUAAAACCCAGUUCCUCUACAUCCAAGGAUAAAGGUACAGAACAUAUGGACAAGAACUCAGCAGGAUAAGAAUGUGGUUGGGUGCCCUGGUAGUAGGUGCACACAAAGCCAGUGGCAACUUCUGGUCACUGCUGAUCUUGCAAGCACAAUAACACGGCUAUAGCAAAAGCUGUUUUUUUUCACUCCUCCUUUCCCAUUGGUGCCCCGGGUAGUUACCCCUCUCACUUCACCUUAUGCCACUAAAUGAACUACCAUUGAGAGUGAAGAUCUCCAGAAAGAGAAAGGUAUAGAAGGAAAUCGAGUUAGGCUAUCCAUAAAGGAGAAAAGAGAAAGAGGAAGAAGGACCAACGUGUUAGAGAGCGUUUGGGUAAAAAUAAAACUGGUGCAGGGGGUUGUGUAAAAAGGAAGAGGAAGGCAAAAAAGCUUAUGCCGGAAAACAGGAGAGAGAGAAAACAGAAUAGAUGGGAGGGAGAGAUUGAAUUUAAAAAAACAAAGAAAGAAAGAAUUUAAUUUAUUCCCCAAAGAUCAAGACAUCACAAUAAAGUGGCUUAAAUUCCUAAAUACUUUUUCAACAUGUCAUUUUCAUAUUAAACAGUUAUUGCAGUUGUCAUGAGUUGUCUCCUUUAGGAGGAGGUAUACUUUGAUGCUAUUCUUUUAUUUACAACAGAUAUACACAAAGUUCUGCUUCCCUGAACAUAGUAGGAUCUAACAAUAGGGAAUAAUUUAUUUACUAACUGGUCCAAGCCCCUUUCCUGUCAGCAGUGUACUCCAAAGCUUUCUCUUGUUCAUUUUUUUCAAGGUAAUAUUACAAGUGUUUUCCAGGCUGUCCCUGGGGCUUCUUCAUUGUCUUCAGUGUGACGUCUCUUCUGCUUUUCUGCCACAUACGUUCAGAGCUCUCUCAAGCAAGAUUCAGUCUCUUGUGUUUGCAUUCAAACUCUUGAGUCCAUAUAGCUCAGAUUGCUUACCAGCCUUGCCUGUGGCUUGUUGGCUUGUUUUCAGCAUGACUCUCUGUUCUACAAAGGAACUAAACUGCUUUUACAGCCACUGCUGCAUCUUGAUCUAGCCCAUAAGGAACCCCACAGUCUGAAUUCAGCAAGGACCAGAUCCUGUCUGAGAAGGUGCUGUGCUCACAGACCAUCAAAGUAUGUCACGCCUGUGUCUUCCCUGCCCACCCUGAUGCAAUUUGGAGUUGUCACCUAGUGGCAGCAACACAAGAGCAAGCCCUCCUGGCCUGGUACACUGUGUACAAGCUACCUAUCACCAAGAGAACUGGCAACUUCCAGUGGCAGCUACUGCAUGGGGCUCUGGCCACAGGCACUUUUUAGACCUGGCAAUGCUAGUGGCCUGCCCUUUCUGCAAGAAGGAUGUGGAAGAAACUGUCUUUCAUACCUUCCUGGAUUGCCCCCGGCUGCAGCUGCUCUUUACUGCUCUCAGCACCUUCUUUGGCAUGCUGGACUUGGACUUCUCUGAGACUGUGUACGUCUUCCCUAUUCUGUAAUUAGCAGCUAAGUGGUUCAUGCUUGGCCCCUGGGAGGUUGAAAUACU